rnacentral:rRNA from 1 species
GACGAACGCUGGCGGCGUGCCUAAUACAUGCAAGUAGAACGCUGAAGGAGGAGCUUGCUCUUCUGGAUGAGUUGCGAACGGGUGAGUAACGCGUAGGUAACCUGCCUGGUAGCGGGGGAUAACUAUUGGAAACGAUAGCUAAUACCGCAUAACAGUAGAUGUUGCAUGACAUUUACUUAAAAGGUGCAAUUGCAUCACUACCAGAUGGACCUGCGUUGUAUUAGCUAGUUGGUGGGGUAACGGCUCACCAAGGCGACGAUACAUAGCCGACCUGAGAGGGGGAUCGGCCAGACUGGGACUGAGACACGGCCCAGACUCCUACGGGAGGCAGCAGUAGGGAAUCUUCGGCAAUGGACGGAAGUCUGACCGAGCAACGCCGCGUGAGUGAAGAAGGUUUUCGGAUCGGAAAGCUCUGUUGUAAGAGAAGAAAGAGUGUGAGAGUGGAAAGUUCACAGUGUGACGGUAUCUUACCAGAAAGAGACGGCUAACUACGUG